UCCUACGGGGCGCAGCAGUCGGGAAUAUUGCGCAAUGGAGGAAACUCUGACGCAGUGACGCCGCGUGCAGGAAGAAGGUUUUCGGAUCGUAAAACCCUGUUGUUAGAGAAGAAAGUGCGUGAGAGUAACUGUUCACGUUUCGACGGUAUCUAACCAGAAAGCCGCGGCUAACUACGUGCCAGCAGCCGCGGUAAUACGUAGGUGGCAAGCGUUAUCCGGAUUUAUUGGGCGUAAAGGGAACGCAGGCGGUCUUUUAAGUCUGAUGUGAAAGCCUUCGGCUUAACCGGAGUAGUGCAUUGGGACAU
rnacentral:rRNA from 1 species